rnacentral:rRNA from 1 species
AUACGAAGGGUGCGAGCGUUAAUCGGAAUUACUGGGCGUAAAGCGCGCGUAGGCGGUUGGAUAAGUCGGAUGUGAAAGCCCCGGGCUCAACCUGGGAAUUGCAUUCGAAACUGUCCGGCUAGAGUAUGGUAGAGGGAAGCGGAAUUCCACAUGUAGCGGUGAAAUGCGUAGAUAUGUGGAGGAACACCAGUGGCGAAGGCGGCUUCCUGGACCAAUACUGACGCUGAGGUGCGAAAGCGUGGGGAGCAAACAGAAUUAGAAACCCUUGUAGUCC